rnacentral:rRNA from 2 species
GUGUCUGGUGGGUAGUUUGACUGGGGCGGUCUCCUCCUAAAGAGUAACGGAGGAGCACGAAGGUUGGCUAAUCCUGGUCGGACAUCAGGAGGUUAGUGCAAUGGCAUAAGCCAGCUUGACUGCGAGCGUGACGGCGCGAGCAGGUGCGAAAGCAGGUCAUAGUGAUCCGGUGGUUCUGAAUGGAAGGGCCAUCGCUCAACGGAUAAAAGGUACUCCGGGGAUAACAGGCUGAUACCGCCCAAGAGUUCAUAUCGACGGCGGUGUUUGGCACCUCGAUGUCGGCUCAUCACAUCCUGGGGCUGAAGUAGGUCCCAAGGGUAUGGCUGUUCGCCAUUUAAAGUGGUACGCGAGCUGGGUUUAGAACGUCGUGAGACAGUUCGGUCCCUAUCUGCCGUGGGCGCUGGAGAACUGAGGGGGGCUGCUCCUAGUACGAGAGGACCGGAGUGGACGCAUCACUGGUGUUCGGGUUGUCAUGCCAAUGGCACUGCCCGGUAGCUAAAUGCGGAAGAGAUAAGUGCUGAAAGCAUCUAAGCACGAAACUUGCCCCGAGAUGAGUUCUCCCUGAGACUACGAGUCUCCUGAAGGAACGUUGAAGACGACGACGUUGAUAGGCCGGGUGUGUAAGCGCAGCGAUGCGUUGAGCUAACCGGUA